CUCCGCUUCCGCCCUGGAGGAAAGGACCUCCCCUCCCCCCUAUAGCGAAACAGACUGCCCAGACCUGGCCGGGUCGGGCCCGGUAAACCUCCCCAGUGCCGGGUACGCGGGUCUCUCACUGUUGUGGCCUCUCCCGUCGCGGAGCACAGGCUCCAGAUGCACAGGCUCAGCGGCCAUGGCUCACGGGCCCAGCCGGCAUGUGGAAUCUUCCCAGACCAGGGCAUGAACCCGUGUCCCCUGCAUCGGCAGGUGGACUCCCAACCACUGCGCCACCAGGGAAGCCUGGUUUAUCCUUAACAUACAAGAAAAUGCACAGAUCUUGGGUGUUUUGUUUGGUGAAUUUCAACAAUAAUAUAUACACUUAUGUAACCCCCCAAACAAGAUACUGAACCAUCACCCCAAAGAAUUCCUUCAUUCCCCUGUAUAGUCAAUUACCCUGCACCUACCAACACCCACCCUCUGCAACUUCCUGAAUUUUAUCACCAUGGUUUUGUCUGUUCUUGAAUUUCACAUAAGUGGAAUCAUACAGUAUGUACUCUUUUGUGUCUAUAUUCUUUAGCUUAGUAACGUUUUUGAGAUUCAGCCAUGUGUAGUCUAUUUUUUAUAUUGCUGAGUAAUAGUCCAUUGUAUGAAUAUAUUGUAAUUUGUUUAUCCAUUCUCCAAUUGAUGGAUAUUUGGGUGUUUCCAGUUUGGGGCUAUCAUGAAUAAGGCUGCUCUAAAUAUUCUUGUGCAAA